rnacentral:rRNA from 1 species
CCUACAGGAGGCAGCAGUGAGGAAUAUUGGUCAAUGGGCGGGAGCCUGAACCAGCCAAGUCGCGUGAGGGAAGACGGUCCUAUGGAUUGUAAACCUCUUUAGGCGGGGAGCAAUGCCGGGCACGCGUGCCCGGAGGGAGAGUACCCGCAGAAUAAGCAUCGGCUAACUCCGUGCCAGCAGACGCGGUAAUACGGAGGAUGCGAGAGUUAUCCGGAUUGAUUGGGUUUAAAGGGUGCGUAGGCGGAUUUUUAAGUCAGCGGUAAAAUGUCCGGGCUCAACCCGGGCCGGGCGUUGAAACUGGGGAUCUUGAGUGGGCGAGAAGUAUGCGGAAUGCGUGGUGUAGCGGUGAAAUGCAUAGAUAUCACGCAGAACUCCGAUUGCGAAGGCAGCAUACCGGCGCCCGACUGACGCUGAGGCACGAAAGCGUGGGGAUCGAACAGGAUUAGAUACCCUGGUAGUC